rnacentral:tRNA from 1 species
GCCUGUGUAGCUCAGUCGGUAGAGCACGUCCUUGGUAAGGACGAGGUCAGCGGUUCAAUCCCGCUCGCAGGCUCCA